rnacentral:rRNA from 1 species
UACGUAGGGGGCUAGCGUUAUCCGGAAUUACUGGGCGUAAAGGGUGCGUAGGUGGUUUCUUAAGUCAGAGGUGAAAGGCUACGGCUCAACCGUAGUAAGCCUUUGAAACUGGGGAACUUGAGUGCAGAAGAGGAGAGUGGAAUUCCUAGUGUAGCGGUGAAAUGCGUAGAUAUUAGGAGGAACACCAGUUGCGAAGGCGGCUCUCUGGACUGUAACUGACACCGAGGCACGAAAGCGUGGGGAGCAAACAGG